rnacentral:pre_miRNA from 1 species
CUAAUACUCCUUCCGUUCCAAAUUACUCGUUGCAGAAAUGGAUGUAUCUAGAACAAAAAUACAUCUAGAUACAUCCAUACCUACGACAAGUAAUUUGGAACGGAGGGAGUAGUAG